UACGUCGGGGGCAAGCGUUGUCCGGAAUCAUUGGGCGUAAAGAGCGUGUAGGCGGCCAUACAGGUCAGCUGUGAAAACUCGAGGCUCAACCUCGAGACGUCGGUUGAAACCGUAUGGCUAGAGUCCGGAAGAGGAGAGUGGAAUUCCCGGUGUAGCGGUGAAAUGCGCAGAUAUCGGGAAGAACACCCGUGGCGAAGGCGGCUCUCUGGGACGGUACUGACGCUGAGACGCGAAAGCGUGGGGAGCGAACAGG
rnacentral:rRNA from 1 species